AACGAACGCUGGCGGCAUGCCUAACACAUGCAAGUCGAACGAGACCUCCGGGUCUAGUGGCGCACGGGUGCGUAACGCGUGGGAACCUGCCCUUAGGUUCGGAAUAACUCCCCGAAGGGGGUGCUAAUACCGGAUAAUGUCUUCGGACCAAAGAUUUAUCGCCUUUGGAUGGGCCCGCGUUGGAUUAGCUAGUUGGUAGGGUAAAAGCCUACCAAGGCGACGAUCCAUAGCUGGUCUGAGAGGAUGAUCAGCCACACUGGGACUGAGACACGGCCCAGACUCCUACGGGAGGCAGCAGUGGGGAAUAUUGGACAAUGGGCGAAAGCCUGAUCCAGCAAUGCCGCGUGAGUGAUGAAGGCCUUAGGGUUGUAAAGCUCUUUUACCCGGGAUGAUAAUGACAGUACCGGGAGAAUAAGCUCCGGCUAACUCCGUG
rnacentral:rRNA from 1 species